UACGUAGGGGGCAAGCGUUGUCCGGAAUCAUUGGGCGUAAAGAGCGUGUAGGCGGCUCGAUAAGUCCGCUGUGAAAGUCCAGGGCUCAACCCUGGAAGGCCGGUGGAAACUGUCGGGCUAGAGUCCGGAAGAGGCGAGUGGAAUUCCCGGUGUAGCGGUGAAAUGCGCAGAUAUCGGGAGGAACACCCGUGGCGAAGGCGGUUCUCUGGGACGGUACUGACGCUGAGACGCGAAAGCGUGGGGAGCGAACAGG
rnacentral:rRNA from 1 species